rnacentral:rRNA from 1 species
AGCGUAGGCGGCCGAUUAAGUUGGAUGUGAAAUACCCGGGCUUAACUUGGGGGGUGCAUUCAAAACUGGUUGGCUAGAGUACAGGAGAGGGAAGCGGAAUUCCUAGUGUAGCGGUGAAAUGCGUAGAUAUUAGGAGGAACACCAGUGGCGAAGGCGGCUUUCUGGACUGACACUGACGCUGAGGCUCGGAAGCGUGGGGAGCAAACA